rnacentral:rRNA from 1 species
ACGAACGCUGGCGGCGUGCUUCACACCUGCCAGUCGUACGGUAAGGCCCUUUCGGGGGUACACGAGUGGCGACCGGGUGAGUAACACGUGAGUAACCUGCCCACAACUUUGGGAUAACGCUAGGAAACUGGUGCUAAUACUGGAUAUGUGCUCCUGCUGCAUGGUGGGGGUUGGAAAGCUCCGGCGGUUGUGGAUGGACUCGCGGCCUAUCAGCUUGUUGGUGGGGUAGUGGCCUACCAAGGCGGCGACGGGUAGCCGGCCUGAGAGGGUGACCGGCCACAUUGGGACUGAGAUACGGCCCAGACUCCUACGGGAGGCAGCAGUGGGGAAUAUUGCACAAUGGGCGCAAGCCUGAUGCAGCAACGCCGCGGGCGGGAUGACGGCCUUCGGGUUGUAAACCGCUUUCAGCAGGGACGAAGCUUUUUGUGACGGUACCUGCAGAAGAAGCACCGGCUAACUACGUG